rnacentral:lncRNA from 1 species
UUUUUUUCUUUUUUACUGUGCUAAAAUAUACAUAAUAUAAAAGCUACUAUUUUAAUCUUUUUUUUUUUCUUUUUUUUUGCCACACCAUGCAAUGGCUUGAUGUGAGAUCUCAGUCCCCAGACCAGGGAUUUCACUGCUGGGGCUGCAGCAGUGAAAGGACCAAGUCUUAACCACUCACUAGACCAACAAAGAACUCCCUAUUUUAACCUCUUUUUUUGUUUUGUUUUCCAUUUUUGGCUGCCCCACAGCAUAUGGAGGUCCCUGGCCAGAGAUCAGAUCUUAGCCACGGCUUCAGCGCUGGAUCCUUUUAAGCUACUGUGUCAGCCAGGGAUCAAACUUGCGUCCUGGUGCUGCAGAGAACAUAGCAUCAAAGUGGGAAGUCCUUAACCAUUUUUAAGUGUACAAUUCAGUGGCAAAAAGUAUGAUCUCAUUGCUGUGUAACUAUUACCACUCUCCAUCUCCAGAACUUUUUUAUCAUCUAGAACUCAAACAUUAGUGUUAUGCAUUAAACAUUAAUUCUCCUUUACUCCCUCCUCCCAGCCGUUGGUAACCACUAUUCUACUAUCUCUAUGAAUUUGAUUACUCCAGAUAUUUCAAAUAAAUAUGAGGUGUGGAAUCUUACAAUAUUUGUCCUUUUGUGUCUGGCUUAUUUCAUCCAUGUUUUAGCAUGUUUCAGAAUUUCAUUCCUUUUUAACAGCUGAAUAAUAUCCCAUUGUAUGGUGUAGCCCACAUUUUAUUUAUUCAUUCAUCUGUAAAUGGUUACUUCCAUCUUUGACUACAUAGAACUUUUUGCUGCUAUGAAUAUGGGUUUACAAAUGUCUGUUCAAGUACUUACUUUAAUUUUUUUAAUUUCUUUGGCUACCUGUGGCAUAUGGAGCUCCCAGGCCAGGGAUCAGGUCUGAGUCACUGCUGCAAACUAAGCCAUAGCUGCAGCAAUGCCAGAUCCUUAACCCACUGUGCUGGGCUGGGGAUUGAACCCAUGUCCCAGCUCUCCCAAGACGCUGCCGAUCCCACUGUGCCACAGUGGGAGCUCCAGUCCUUACUUUAAAUUCUUUUGGGUGUGUACUGAGAAGUAGAAUUGCUGUAUUAUGUAGUAAUUCUGCUUAAUUUUUUGAGGAACCACCAUACUGUUCUCCAUAGCAGCCAUGCCAUUUUAUAUUCCUAUAAGCAAUGCACAAGAUUCCAAUUUCUCCAGACCCAAGCCAAUAUGUGUCAUUUUCUGUUUGUGUGUGUGUGUGUGUUUUGUUUUUUUGCCUCGCCAGUGGCAUGUGGCAGUUCCCAGGUCAGAGAUCAAAUCUGCACACAACAGUGACCCAAGCCACUGCAGUGAUAACACUGAAUUCUUAACCUGCUGCACUACAAAGGAACUCCUAUGUUUCUUAUUUUUAAUGUUCUCAGUCAAUUAGAAUUUUAGAAAUCCCUACCGGUUAGGGGUUUUUUGUUUGUUUGUUUUAAUGGCCACCCCACAGCAGAUGGAAUUUCCUGGGCCAGGGAUUGAAUCUGAGCUGCAGCUGUGACCUACACUGCAGCCGUGGCAAUGCUGGAUCCUUUAACCCACUGUGCCAGGCCAGGGAUCAAACCUGUGCCUCUGUAGCAACCCAAGCUGCUGCGAUUGGAUUCUUAACCCACAGUGCUACAGCAAGAACUCCAGUUAGUACUAGUUUGAAUCUUCUAGCCUCAACUGUAUUCUUUGAUUAAAGGUAGUUAACAAAGGAGUUCAUUGUAGGAUGGACUUUCAAGGUCACCCUGUCUGUUGGUUUUCAUACCUCAUUCCCCAAAGCUCCUUCUCCAAUUCUCAGCCAAACUAUUUCUGACUCUGAUUUCAUUAGUUUUACAUCAUGCAUGUCUGAGUAAGAUUUCAUUUGAAAGGAGUUCCCGUCGUGGCUCAUGGUUAACGAACCCAACUAGCAUCCAUGAGGACUCCUGUUCCAUCCCUGGCCUCACUCAGUGGGUUAAGGAUCUGGCGUUGCCGUGAGCUGUGGUAUAGUUCACAGAUGUGGUUUGGAUCCUGCGUUGCUGUGGCUCUGGCAUAGGCUGGUGGCUACAGCUCCGAUUGGACCCCUAGCCUGCGACUCUCCAUAUGCUGCGAGUGUGGCCCUAAAAAGCAAGCAAAUACAUAUAUAUGUAUAUAUCUCCCAUUAACUUGACAAGGAGAGUGGUAAGGAAUCAGAGGAAUGAGGAAUGAGGCAUGCUCUGGUAAAUACCAUCACUUUAGUAGACAAGAAACCAAUGAUAACAAUGAAACUUCACCCCUUCUUGCCAAGGAGAUUAUGCAUGAGAAAUAGGUUAUGCUGGGAAAGUAUGGAGGUAGCUAUUUCUAAAGAAAAAAUAUCUUAAGUCAAAAUUUUAAAACAGUUAUGAAAUCAAGAAUAUUUCUUUGAAAUGUACUACAUUACUACUAUAGGAAAUACACAGUUGAAUAAGGUGGCAUUGGCCAUGUGUGUGAGAAGCUUACAGUAUGUAUCCCUUUUUUAAAAGAGAAUCUAUACUUAUAU